AAAAAGUGCAACUACUGUCUCAUUGGUUUAAAUCACAUUUUUAUAGUGGAGUAAUCUAAAAUUGUGGUUUCUUUUUCAAAAAUUGUUUUUUUCAAUUUUGUUCAAUGCAAAUAGUACACCAUUUGCAGUAAACUGAAAAUAACAUUUGGAUUAAAGUAGUUAUUUUACUUCAAACCAGAGGUUUUUGUGUCACAUGACAAAUCGUCACAUCACUUGCCCGCUGGUGCAUUUCAUGAACCGUCUUUUGAAAGGCUGCUACCUUCCACCAUCUUACAGAGCUACUGUGAUUGUGAACAAGGUUUGUCGAGCCUGGGUCUUUUGGCUGUUUUAGCCACAUUGCUGAAUUUGUCCUUCAAUGAAUGUGGAAUUGCAAAGACUUAAACUGUUCUUGUACCUUGGAAGACUUGGAAGGCACCUUUGACCCACUUGUCAAGAUUUCAUCAGCCAUCCUCACAAAGGAUCAAUGCAGAAUUCAUGAGAACAACUGCUCCACUUCAACCACAAUUCAUGGCUUCCUUGGACAACCAGUACUGUAAGCUGAUUGAGAUCAUCAGAAACAAGGGAGGAGCUGUCAGAGAGAAGAUUCAGGACAUACUAAAAGUUCUUGAUCAGAGCCACGAGGUGAUUUUGAAACGACAGUGUCUCUUGAAGGCCCUUAUUGUAUUCCUUGGGGAAGACGUGGACAAACUCUUCAAGGAGUAUCUGGUUGGUCAGAAGGAUGAACAAGAGAG